CUCUGCUGACCUACUGACCUUAGAGUAGGGUAACAAGCGUCUGAGACUAUUAAGUGGCAUCAUUCUUGCCCUCUUUCACUUUGUCUCCAUUUUCCUUGCUGCUGUGCUGACAGCAGGAACUGGCCUCGGGCUUGAGCCUUUCCCACAGCUGAUCCACUGGCCUAGUCCUUUGGUUUUCUUUCUGUUCAGGUCUCUGGCCACCUCACCUUUGCCUCCCUCCUUCCUUUUGUGAAGACAAAAAAGGGUCACAAUUACAUGGGUGACAGUACUUACGCCAGUGCCUCCUUUUUUUGCAUGGGUGGACGUGGGCACACAAUCAUGAAAGUGUAAUGAUAGCUCUUUCUUCCGGUCUCCUGCCCACCUCCAAGCCACCUCCAUAAGAGCUCCUUGUCUGACGCACUGAUCUGUCCCUUAGUCAUCGCCUGCUCAUGCUCGUCAUUUCCAGUUGCCUCUCUGUUUAUUUCAAUCUGCAUUUUUUCCCCCCACUCUGGUGAUUCACAGUGGCUCCUUCCAUUGCACAGCCACUUCUUCCAGAACUGGAUGAAACCACAAGUGCUCAGUUUACGCCCCUUUGCACAGGGUGUGCAUUCAGGACAUCUGCAUGGAAUGAACAAAGGCUGCUCUUUGGAGGAACAGUGGCUGCAUCUGAAGAGUAUGAGAUGGUGACUGCAUCAAAGACACCUCCUCUGGGCCUCCCUUUUCAUAGUCCGACAGUUGGCAUGAUUCUCCAAGCGUCAGGUCUCAGCAGGAGAGCAAGAAGGCCCUUCACAGUGGAACAGUUUAUGUACCUCUUUGAGGGCCUAGAAUUAUUAUUAUUAUUAUUAUUAUUAUUAUUAUUAUUAUUAUUUUAAUGGACUGGGAAGAAACUGAAAUAUUGAGGCUGAAGAGAUGGCUCAGCAGCUCACGUUCCCAGCUGAACCGGAGCACGGCAAACUUGCAUCUGUUCGGUGGGCAGCCUCGUCUCCUGCUUCCCACUGUGCACUCGGUGGAAUCUGGGUUUCGUGUCUCUGCGCUUGCGUAAGCACUCUAGCUCUUUUUCUCUUCCCUAGGCCUCUUUAUUCUGAGGAGUCUGGAAAUACAAGUGUGCCUGGAAGAAAAGAGCUGGAUUCAGCUAGGGGUUCCCACCCUGGGCCUUGGGGGGUCAGAGCUAUGGCAUGGAGUUCAAUUGUCUUCAACGAGGCAUGUCAGCAAGACAAACACACCUACAGAGCCAGGCAAGUCCUGUGUGCAACUUUGUAUGACUCAACUCUCAUGACUUGGCAGUUUUUGCAGCAAGGAGCCCAAGACCAUAGUCUUCAGGAGACCUGAAUGGAUCAAGGAAGUCAGUGAAUCAGACUGAAAGAGAAGUUAUCUGCCUGUCAUAGGCAUUGUCUUCUGUCAGCUGCUCUUGUGAGCUCCUGAGCCAGUGAUAAGCCGGCUUGGGCAAGAGGAGGUUCUCCUGAGAAACAUAACACCUACAACGCCAAGAAUUAAGAUUCAGGGAGCCGGGGAAGUGGCUCCGUUGAUACAAUGCUUACUGUCCCAGUCUGCAGAGCUCAGGUCCAUCCUUAGCAAUCACCUACAGAGCCAGGAGUGAUGACAAGGCUGUCGAUUUUUCUGUUCUGGUUCUUGUUUUGCUCUCCUUCCAAAAGCAGAGUGGGGAAUUUCAUUCACUGUGUGGGAACAUUUUAAAUGGGAGAGUAGAAACUGGAGUGAGAGAGUUGACAGAGGGUACCAGCUGGUAGAGAAAGGCUGACAGUGUUCCAGGUGUAAGUUCUCAGCACGCUCCAGGUCACAAAGAGUCAGGCUCUAAGCUCUUCCAGAGUCUCCGGAUGAUGAAGAGGAGCUGUACCCUGUCUGAGCAGGGCAAGGCCAUGGUUCUGCCAUCUAUGGCAAGCCCUGGAGUUUCCCUGAUUGUAGAUGAAGUAAUAGACCUCAGUGCUUCAUCAGGGUCUAUCCACUCUUGAAGGUCGGAGCAGGUUCUUCUCAGGUUUCAGUGUCUCUGGUGAAUCUUCAUUCUUCCCUUCUCUCAUCCAAAGAGUCAAGGACCAUCUGGGAGCUGGCUAGAAGCAGGACUGUAGCCAGGAGCUGGGCUGGCAGAAGCCCUGAGUGCAUGGGUUUCUUGGGGAGCUGGCUCAAAGCAGGACUGUAGCUGGGAUCCGGGCUGGCAGAAGCUCUGUGUGCACUGGUUUCUGUAGCCAGGAGCUGGGCUGGUAGAAGCCCUGUGUGCAUGGGUUUCUGUUUGUCAUGUGAUGCUUU
rnacentral:lncRNA from 1 species